ensembl:lincRNA
AUGCCUUGCCCUGCCUCAGCUCGCGCACGGUGCGCGCACCCACUGACCCGUGGUCACUGUCUGGCACUCCCUAGUGAGAUGAACCCGGUACCUCAGAUGGAAAUGCAGAAAUCACCGUCUUCUGCGUCGCUCACGCUGGGAGCUGUAGACCGGAGCUGUUCCUAUUCGGCCAUCUUGGCUCAACAUCGACAAUUCGACUUUUAUGAGAAAAAGAUGACCCAGGGCAAAUUUGGAAGGUUCCAGAGGAAGACAUUAGGCUCUAUUCUUCAGGUUAAUCACCAGGAAAAUGGCAACAACUGAAGACAGAAUAUCAGAUUUGAGACCAAAGGAGUCUGUUCUCAUCUUUCAGGUGGGACCUGGGGAAGUGGUAAGAUAUUAAAGAAAAAAUGGCCCUGGGUUUGUUCAGAAAAGGAAGCCUAAACCAGUCUCACAGAGGGUCUUAUACUGUGGUUUAGAAGCAACAAGAUGAUCCAAGAUGGAAGGUUGAUCUUGGCUGAAAAUGAGGGCUACGGCAGAUUGGAGGGUAGACUUUUCCACAGGAGCCCAAGUGCCCUGCUGAUACUGAGGAGCACCUAGGAGAAAGGAAAAACUCUGGAUUCUGUAGUAAAGUUUCUAGCACUCCAAGGAACAUAGCUCAAAAGGGAAAUUAACUUGUUCUACAAUUUUUUUUUUUACCCUUGGGUUUGUGAACUGAACUCUUACAGAUAUGUUUUAUAUCCUGAUUUUUUUGCUAUCUUCAAGAUUUCCUAAUGAAAAUCAUUUUUAAUACUGGCUUAAUAUGUCGUUGAUUUGAUGCCGUAAUUUUCCUAACCAAUCCCUUAUUUUUAAACAUUUUUAUUAUUUCUAUUUUUUGCCAUUAUAAUUACUGCUAUGUAUUUCAAAGCAUGAGCAUCUAGGAUGAGUGUUUAAAAAAAUUCCUGAAGCGGAGCUAUUGGUUAAAAGGCCAGAACAAUUUUCUUUCCAAUGGUGCAUUGUUACCAAAUUGCUUUCCAAAAGUUUUGUAGAAAUGUAAUCAUGAGUCAUCUAUAGGAACUCAUUGUUAGACAUGAUAUCAGCAUCAAAUGACUUUACCAUUUUAUAGUUGAAGAAGGGAUUUCACUGGUCUAUAAAUCACGUAUAUUUCCUUUUGCUGUGGUUAAAAGGGCAACAUAUAUUCAUUUUAGAAAAUUUAAAAUGUACAGGAAAGUGUGAAAAUCACCAAUAAUCCCAUUACUUGAGGAUAGCUACUGUUUACAUGCUAAUGUACUUUUCCCAGUCUUUCUUUCUCUGAGUGUGCAUAUCUACUCACAUACAGAAUCACAUGCACCUAUAUUUUGCUUCUUACAAAAUUGGAAUCAUAUAAUAUAUAUCAUUAUGCACAUUUUUGAUUUAAGAAUGAUAUGAAAGUUUUCCAGUAUCAUAAAAUAUUCUCCUAAAACAUUAAUUUGCACAAUUAUUAACGUUUGAAACCUGCCUUAGACACAAAACACUCAAUAAUAGCUUGCUGUUGCUGUGAUGUAAUGGGGAUAGUAAAACCAUUAAGUGGAGGCUGAGGCGGAAGAAUUGCUUGACGCCAGGAGUUUGAGACAAGCCUGGGCAACAUAGCAAGACCCCAUGUCUACAAAAAGAAACCAACAGUGGGAGGAUGGGCUGCAGCAUUAAAACAUGACUUUAAAUGACUCUAUAUAAUGUAUUAUAAUGUUUUGUUAUAUACCACAAUUUUUUAAAUCAUCUCCCCAGUUAUUGGAGAUUUAGAUUAUUUCCUAUUUUUCACCAUUGUAAUAAUUCCAAGAGGAUCAUCCCUGUAUACAUCUUUGUGCACAUAUCUAGCUCCAAUUAUUUUCUUCAGAUAAAUCGUUAAAUGUCAAGAUGUUUGAAUAAAAAAUUAUGCAUGUGUUAAGGCUUCUUGUUGUUACCAAAUUGCCUUCUAGUAAGUUUAUGCCAUUUUCAACACUCAUUAGUAGUAAUUGUAUGAGAAUAUCUAUUUACUUGCACCUAUGCCAGAACUGGGCAUUAUAAUAUUUAAAUAUCUCUGCCAUUUCAUUUGCAAAAAACAACAUCUUGUGGUUUAAAAAAUUUUGGUUAAUAGUGAUAUUGACCAGUUCCCCAAGUAUGCUAAUUAUUAUAUCUCACCGUUUGUAAAUAUUCUUUUUGAUGUCUUCUUCAGGUGAAUUCCAUGACCUUGAGAGCAAAUAUACUGAGUAGUAUUUAAUAAACACUCGUUGAUUACUUCGAGA